rnacentral:SRP_RNA from 14 species
GACAGGCAAAGUGGUGCAUGCCUGCCAUCCCUGCUGCUCAGGAGGCGAAGACAGGAGCACCCAAGUCCAGGAGUUCCGGGACACAGUGUGCUGUGCCCAUCCUGUGUCAGCACUAAGUUCGACAUCAAUAUGGCUGCCACCAGGUUGCCUAAGGAGGAGUGAGCAGGCCCAAGUCAGAAACGAAGCAGACCAAAACUCCUAGGCUGGUUAGUAGUGGGAUCACACCUGUGAACAGUCACUGCACCCCAGCCUGGACAGCGUAGUGAGGAGGACAGUCUCA